ACGACCUUACUUGAACAGGAUCUGUUCUAUAGGCUCGUACCGCUGCAUCCUUUACCAACAAGGAGGCAAGCACUUCAGUCUGGUUGACGCAUUCUAACCUCUAGGCCAGAGCGUGAUUAACGGCUUGGAUUCACCUUGAUGGGUGCCAUCCGACGGCUGUAGAGGAUCGUUCCUGCCUGGUUAAACUGGUGCAGGGUGGCCUAGAGGUUGUCUGACAGACU
rnacentral:snoRNA from 1 species